rfam:Corchorus capsularis cultivar CVL-1 contig06710, whole genome shotgun sequence.
AUGCCAUGGUAAGGGCAAUUGGUGCAAAGCAUCUUAAAUCUAUCCCAUGCUCGGUAGAAAUUUUCAUCCUUUUGUUGUUGAAAAACAGCAAUUCUUUGUCUUCCUUU